GUGUUUUCACGCCUUUAUCCUAAUUGCCAAUGAUGACCGAGGGGAGCUGAUCCACGUGCUGCUCCGAUGCUGAGUGUGCACUGAAACAGUCUAGGAACAACUAUUCCUGACCUGAUGCUGGGUUUCCAUGGUGACACAGGAAUCUGCCAGACAGUGAUGUGUCUGCCAGGAAUACUCAGUCUCAGCAAUGGGUCCUCUCAGCACGUGUAUAUGUAUAUAGUUGUGGGAGAGUGCACGGGGUGAGUAAAGGAAGAAGAGAUGUCUAACGAGGCUAAAGGUUGAGAGCAAACGGUCACAUAAAUAUCGACUUCUUCCUUGUACUCCACCACCUGACACCUGAGCUGAGAGACGGGAGAACAGAAGGUAGAUUAGAUGGCGAGAGAACACAGACGCCAAAUGCACCGGAGGCCAUUUUCCAGUGCGAAGAGGAGGCGGCAACGAGCGUCUUUUGACUCAUAAAGCAGCGUCCCACUGAGAUUGUGACCUGUCCAGGGAGUAAAGCCCAGCUCUGUAGCUCCCUCCUCCAGCAGCCCUCCAGACCCAUUCCUGAUCACUGACUCAUAAAAAAAAAAAAAUGCUUUUGACAUUAACAGUCGCCACAGAACACAGGCAAUAAGGGAAGCUCCAGGCUGCAGAAGUGCAGCACGAUUAUUAUUGAGAUGGCACAGAGCAACAGAAGUGGUGAGCAGAAACGGGUAAUUACAAUGUGAAAACUGUCUUGGAUGUACCGUACAGUCUGGAGGUCUGGUAAAUUUGAAUUACAAUCUACCUUUGU